CAAAGGGUAGUUUAAUUAAAAUAAUAAUUUUGGGAAUUAUUGAUAAAAUAUCUAUUUUUCCUUUGA
rnacentral:tRNA from 1 species